AAUGUAAAAUUCAUAACAUAUAGUAAAACUUAUCUAAAGAUUUAAUAAAAAAAUAUCUAAAAGUUAAAAAUGUAAAAAAAACAAGAAAAUAUAAUACAAAAUUAUAUCUUAUCUAAUGAAAAUGUAAUAAUAAAUUUUUAGAUAAUUUUUAUUAUAUAAAAUUUUGUAUUUUUUUAUUUUUAAUGGUAAAGCCGCUCAACUAUGUUUACUUAAAUUUUGACAUUCAAUGCCCAAUUAUUAACUUACUACCUUUUUAUUUUAGGUCAAAAUAUUCAAUAGGCUUUUUGUUUAAGAUAUAAGAAUUGUGUUUAUCAAAGAGAAACAUAUCUUGGUUGUUAUUUAAAUAUAAUAUUAAAACACAAAGAGGAGAACAUAUUAAUGUUUUUUCACAAAAUAAUAUUUAGUUAAAUUUAAUUUUUAAAGCUUUAAGCAUUAUGAAAAAAUUUAAUUUAAAAAAUAUAAUAGGAUAAAUAUGUAACAUUUUAAAUCAUUUUCAACAUCUAUAAAUAUUUUUAAAACAUAAACCAUCAACAAAAUUAUAAUUAUAGUAUUAGCUAGUAAAAUAUUUAAAACACAUCUUAUAACUAAUAGAUAUUUUUCAGUUUAAAAUAAGUUUUAAAUUGAAGAAAUUCCUCGCUUUGAAUGCGCGGGUCAAAAUCUAAUUUUACUUAUUCUUCCUUCUCAUUAUGCGAGUAAAUAAGAACUUAGUUUACAUGAUUUGUUUUUAUGACAUAAAAAACUACUUUAUUACUCAAACUAGAGGUGGUCUGGGAUUUCAGACCAGAAUAGAACAACCAACCAAUGUUAACACGCGUCGAAAAUUCCGAGCUAUCCUAGCUAAACCAUCUUCUGUUCAGUUAUGCUCUCUUGGUAAAUGAGAAAUUUUGAAAUCCGGUUAUCGUGUCUUUAGUACUGCUUCCUACCCAAGCUCCAUGGAGACACUUGGCCAUGCUUUCGGGUUCUGAAUCAUCGCUAAAACAUCUUUGCAGUCCGCCUCAAAGUGUUGGUAAUUCGUGUGCUGAGGCAUUACGUCCAUUGCCCAAAUUAACACCUCCAGUUCUGAGUGCAAUGAAAACAUACGAUUUUAUUUGUUCCUAAAUCCCAACAGUUCUCGUUUCCUGAUCUAACCAUCCAUACCCAAUCAUAACCACUGUACGAUCCGUUGUUUGGUGACAUGUUUGAGUAUCCUACAGUAUCUUUGAAUUUGCAUUAAACUAUGCAUGGCAUUCACUCUCAGUGUGUCGAAUCAACUCAAGUGGGUCACAUGUGAUUCCUCUGAAAAGUUUAUCGUUACGAGAUUUUCAUAAAUACCACAUAAUCCAAGGAUAAUGGUCUUUAUCUAGUUCCGGAUUUCGUUCUUUAUCCAGAACAAAUAAUCCAUGUUGGUAUAUAUGCUCAUUGUUGGGAAAGUACCCGUACACGAUGGUGUCAAAGCAAGGGCCCAAGUCUGCAAGGCAGGUGUUCAUUCAAAAAUUUCAUUGUUGACUGAUUCAUUGGUUCUCCAAAAAUCUAGGACAAUGACUAUCGCAACGCAUAUAACAUCGCGUUAAAUUCCCUGUAACUACUACAUAUCCAGACACCAACUGCCAUAUAAGAUGAUAUAUUUUAUGUGGAGCAUUGAUUUUCCAGGCAAAGACUUUUAACUUAGAGGUUGAUUGUUUGAAGUUUUUGAAGUGGUUUUUGGCCUUUUUUUCUAAUGACCAUUUCUUAGACAGUCAAGAUUUUAGAGAAAUAGAUUCCUUAUAAUCUAGGGGAACUAGUUUUUUUCAAAUAACUAUCUUUUACAAAGAAAAACCAAAAUUCAAAUUUUAAUGGUUUCUUUGAAAUCCAAUGCAGUUAUUCAAUUGUUUGCUCAACAUCCCAAAUAUUUGGAGUCCCAUGAAUUAUUUCGCUCACUGUCACCCGAGAAUCUAGCACCAGGUGGAUUGAUUUAGCAGGUAUAGCAGGGAUAGAGAGAAUCCAAGGAUCUUCCCAAACAUUUAUCUGGUAUUCUGAGUGCACUUUAUGAUUGAUCCAUAAUCGUAAUAGAGGUCUAGGAGCCAUCAAACUUGUCCAAACAUAAGAUGGAGAAUUUGUAACUACCUGUCGGAAAGACGAGCUUGGGCGAUAAUACAUUCCUCACAAAACUCUCGCAAGGAUAGAAUACAGAAAUUGGAUUAAUCUCCACAGUUAUUUUGCCAAUAAUGCCCCCAUUAAACUCGUGACUAAGUCUGAAAACCGAUAGUUUCUUCAUUUUUUGGACUACAUAGUUUGGUGGAUUGGAAUUCCUGCGCUUGUCAUUUUUUUUACAAAUCUCCAAAGGGAAAAGAAAGGUAGACAUUACAUACGAAAGAAAUGCUAAUGCUAUAGCUUUUAUCAUGAUAUUCCACCUUGUGACAGCCAUUAGGCCGACCAACCAUUGAUUCUAUGAUCAAGUCUAUCUUUAUAGAGAAUAAAGUUUAAAUGUGUUUUUUUGUAUAAAUUUCAGACUUAAAGUAUUAAAUUAUUUUAUAUAUUAAUUACAUUUUCAGUUUGUUAUUUUUAAGGUUGUAUAAAAUUUUGGUUAUUGAAACAUUUUAUUUGUUGUUUUUUUUGUAAAGAAUACGUAUAUUAUUUAUAAAAUAUUUCGAAAUUCAAUUUGGUUAAACCUGGUGAAAUCAUAUUGACCCAUGACCUAAAUUCUUUACAGUUUGGUUACCGGUCCGAUUUUAAAAACAUUGCAAAUCUUCCAUUGACUUGUCUGAUUCAGUUGAUUUUGAAGUUGUAUAAAGAUCUUGACUUGGCAAAUCUUCCAUCAACUUCUUCUCCACAAUUCCGACGAAGAAAACAAAACUUUAAUAAUUAUUUUUAGCGAACCAACAAAAGCGUUAGAGAUACAAAAGCCAUAGACCAGAAUACUGACAAAGGAAGAAAUAGACAAGGCUUAAUACUGCCAUGAGAACUGGGUCAUGUCGUGAAGAAAAAUUUCCAAACGCAAUUGUAAGAACUGUUAAGGUAUCAGACUAGGUUCGAUUACGAUCUUGAUCCGGUUCACUUAGUCAAUUAUAAGCCUAAUCUUGAUCUUAACUAGUGAUGGAUCUUCAAAACAAAGUAAUGCGAUCAACACAAGGUUUUGUUUACCCAGUCUUUGUUUUCUACUGACUGGGGAGAGAACAAAACUCUCUUGCACUUCACUAUCGAUCAAUGUGAUAUAAUAGUUCAAGAUCUCACCCGAUCUAUCUUCUUUGUACAGGUAUUACAAGGAGAUUUACCGAGAACUGUUCGGAGAAGAGUACCAAAGUGACUGCGACGAAGACGACUCACUAUCAGCCUCCGAUUCCUCUGAUAAUGAAGAGGACACGCAGAAUGAUCCGUAGAAAGCUCCUUGACCUCAAGAGCUGCGAUCAGCUACCGGAUAUCUCUAUCUCGAUCAAGCUUUCUCCUCCGCUUUGAUACUUUCUCUCAAUCUCUGUAUCUCUUUCUCUUUGUAACUCUGUUGUAUGAUACUCUCUCUCUCUUCUCUGUUUCGAGAAAGAAGAGAUAGACCGUUAGAACAUGGAUCCCGCUUUUUAACCGUAACCUUAUCCUCUAGCUGGAGCUGGGCCUUUUAUCUCUUUAGCUCGGCCUGCAUCUUCUAUCAUAUCCCAGAAGCCCAACACACAGUCCAAACCCCUAAAACGACAACACCUCACAAGAACCAUCAAGCCGAAUCAUUUCCUUCUUGAUGUUUUUCAUUUCUUGAAACACAAAAAAAAAAAAACAUCAAGCCGAAAUAUUUUUUUUUCGUCACCAGUAGUCAAGAGUUAUAGUUCUUAAUGGGAUGAGAGUAACAGUGAAAAUGACGUCGAAUCCUUCCGUCGCCCUUAGUGUCAUUCACAUCCCUUCUCUGCAGUGAAAAGAACGAGUGAAUCAUUUCCUUCUUGAUGUUUUUCUUAGAACACUUCUCUUGUGAACUCUUUUCUGCAGAGUUACUAUGGAACUAGUAAGAGUCUUUAGAGAAGAAUAAAAGCGAAUUUUCACAACUGUGAAUUUUCGUUGAAUAUUUGAUAUCCGAGUCUGGCCAAUUUCCAGACUUUAUACUGUAUCACAUGUGGGAAGACAACAUAUUCUAGUUUAGUUUUUACUGUUAUUUGUUGUGAUUUGUUUUACUCAUGAAGCCACAUGUAGAUUCAUGUAUAGUUGUGGUUAGGUAAAGAUGUGUAAUAUACUCAUGAAGCCACAUGUAGAUUCAUGUAUAGUUGUUAAGAUACCGUUCUUAUGUUUAGGUAAAGAUGUGUAAUAUACUCAAGAAAGGUCUUUCAAAAGCUUAACAUAAUGCUUGCUGAAAAAAAAAAUGAAAACCAACCUAUCAGUACACAUGACUUUUCAAAUCUAUCACUUGUGGACUGGACAGUGCUACUAAUUCAUAUUUAUUCUUUUAUCAGAUUCGUUCAAUGAUAUACUACUCUCUUUAAUUAGUUACUUAUAAGAGAAGCCAUAAGCAUUAGCAUCAACCAAACCAUACACAAGAUGAAUGCCAAAAUCUCUAGAAGAAAUGUGAUACAUAGAACAUACAAAAUAACAUAUAGCAUUACUAUUAUUUUAACUGAUCGCCACAAUACCUAUCAGUUUUCUAGGUUUUAUUAUACUCGGAAUCUGGAGAAAAAUGAAACAUAGAACAUACUCUUAACACAGA